rnacentral:rRNA from 1 species
UAGGGAAUCUUCGGCAAUGGACGGAAGUCUGACCGAGCAACGCCGCGUGAGUGAAGAAGGUUUUCGGAUCGUAAAGCUCUGUUGUAAGAGAAGAACGAGUGUGAGAGUGGAAAGUUCACACUGUGACGGUAUCUUACCAGAAAGGGACGGCUAACUACGUGCCAGCAGCCGCGGUAAUACGUAGGUCCCGAGCGUUGUCCGGAUUUAUUGGGCGUAAAGCGAGCGCAGGCGGUUAGAUAAGUCUGAAGUUAAAGGCUGUGGCUUAACCAUAGUAGGCUUUGGAAACUGUUUAACUUGAGUGCAAGAGGGGAGAGUGGAAUUCCAUGUGUAGCGGUGAAAUGCGUAGAUAUAUGGAGGAGCACCGGUGGCGAAAGCGGCUCUCUGGCUUGUAACUGACGCUGAGGCUCGAAAGCGUGGGGAGCAAACAGGAUUAGAUACCCUGGUAGUCCACGCUGUAAACGAUGAGUGCUAGGUGUUAGACCCUUUCCGGGGUUUAGUGCCGUAGCUAACGCAUUAAGCACUCCGCCUGGGGAGUACGACCGCAAGGUU